CACAACAAAGGUGCUUCGAAGGAGCUCCCAAAUAGCAUAAAUAGAGCCUUGGCGACACUCUACACCAGUGCACUCCAAAGUUGGUCCGUCUAAAGUAUCGCUGAGUCUAAAAUACUGCUGAAAGUCAACCGUUAUUAAAUAUGUCUCACGUUUAUGGUAGAGCUAACGAUCACGUUUCCCGUGCAAAGGUUUGCACAACUGAAGAAUUGCGGGCUGAAAAAGAAGCCACAAAAAAGGAGAAAAAAUGCGUCAGGUUUGCAACGCUCCCAUCACUCCACAACGGCUGGGAGCACACAAUCCGACCAACGACAGAGAGAGUGCGGGACGUACAAAGGCUUAUCACACAUUUGAUUUCCAUGUGUGACAACUGCAAGUGUCCAGAGUGAGGACAGACUGAGGGAGCCACUGCUGCACAUCACCUGUGAGGCUUUGCACCCCUGAUGAUCCACCAGGACAAACUCAGCAGUGUGUGAGGAAGAGGAGGAGGAAGAUCCAGCAGCAGCUGACAGAUGGAGAGAAUAGACAGACUGUUCCCUGUUUGUGAAGGACUGCUAGGAAAGUUAAAAAUAACUAAUUGCCUGUCCUGAAUCAGUCUCAUUAGCUAUCUUUUACGGUGUGGUCUGCUGGGGCGGCAACAUCUCUGCUGCAACAGGAAGAAACUGAACAGGCUGAUUCGAAGGGCCAGCUCUGUUGUAGGAUGCCCUCUGGACUCAGUGGAGGUGGAGAAUCUGACAGCUCCUUCAGUGGCAGGCUGCGGCACCCACGGAGAGGUUUCGCAGGUCUUUCCUCCCCACUGCUAUCAGACUCUACAACAAAGACUUUUGCAGCUGAUCAAACCCACACGUGCAAUAAGACUGCUAUAAGUGCAAUUCUUUUUCUGACAAAGUUGUACUUUUGUAUUUUCUUACUCAGCUGUAUAUAGCAUUUGUAUUCUAUUGUGUUCUAUUGUAUAUAUUAUUCUAUUUCAUUAUUUUGUUAUAGUUUUAUCUUAUCUUAUCUUAUUGUAUAUAGUAUUUUAUUUUAUUUUAUUCCAUUCCAGUGUUUUCUAAUUUCUGCUACAUAACUUUGCACUUUUGCUGUAACGAAACAAAUUUCCCACCUGUGGGACUAAUAAAUAGAAUAGAAUAGAAUUCAACUUUAUUGUCAUUGCACAUGCACAGGUACAGGGCAACGAAAUGCAGUUUACAUCCAUCCAGAAUUGCUUUAGUGAUAUAGAUAUAUUACAAUAUAUAUUAGCAAUAAUAUAGAUAUGUAAGUAUAUUACAGAAAUGGGUCUAUUAUGGUAUGUUAUAAUGUACAUGGUAUGAAGUAUGUUGUGAAUAUUCUAUAACUAUAAGUAUGUACAGGCUGUAGUGAGUACAAGCUAUGUACAGGCUAUGAACAGGAUAUAAAUAUGAAAAACUAUACGGAAUAUGAAAUAAAUAACUUUACAGAAAUCUGAGAUAUACAGCUAUACAGAAAUGGGAACUAUGCAAGUUGUAAACAGUUGUAGG
ensembl:lncRNA